CGUUUAUUGAAAGAACUGUCUCCCCCACCGCCCUGUGGAGCCCCCUUUGUCACAAAGCACGUGUGUGUGCGCGUGUGCGUGUGUGCGCGCGCGUUCAGGCGUCUUCAUUGGGUCCAGAGGGCAGUUUGGUUCGUUGUGCCCGUGUCACAUCGUCUGAAUUCCUUUAGUUUUAUGUAGGUCUCCAUAUCAGUAAAAGACGUUCCUGACUUUUGUCCCCUGCAAGACUAUCUGAGCUGUCCUUGGCCUUGGGCGUUUGCACAUACUCUGGAAUCCGUCUUCGGGUCCCUCAGGCAACAACAAAGAAACACCUGUCGGGUUUGGGUCGCAAUGGCACUUGGUCUACGGAUGGAUUUGCGGAGACGCUGCCUUUACAAUAAAGGGUCUUCCCAUCGCCCCGCCUCACACCACACACGUCUCCCCCGCUUGGGUUGUAGAUCUACCUGUGAAAGACAGAUCAGCAAAGCUGCUGGGAGCCGAUAGUGGACACAGUCUUCACCACCUUGGGCUGGAGGAAGGUUUCUUAAACAAGGCAAAAGGCGCCGUCCGUAAAGGAAAACUGAUAGAUUUCACUGCGCUGAAACCAUGAGAACUUCUCUUUGCUGGAAGACGCCAUCAGAGAGUGAAGAGUCGAGCCGCAGAGUGGGAGCAGAUGUUUCCCAAACACAGAACUACGGGCUCCUACCCAGAAUUUGCAAAGAACUUGUACAUCGAGUCAAAGACAGACAACCACCAAAUGGUCAAGAAACUGGGACAGACGUUAACAAAAGACGAAGUUCAGAGAGCCAAUAAAGUCCUCAAAAGGGGCUCAGCCUAAUUAGAAAUCCUGGGCACGCCUGUUUACACCGCAGGGAGACACCAAUGCACUAACAUCACAAACACCGACCAUCCCAAGCGCUCGUGAGAAUGUGGAGCAGCUGGAAAUGGAAGAUGCUGCUGGCGGGAGUGUAAAUUGGUACAAACGCCUGGAGAACCUGUGUGGCGUUAUCUACUAAAGCUGAAUGGACACCCACCCCACGAGCAGCAUUUCCACUCCUAGGAACCCAUCCAACAGCAAUGAAAGCUGAGGUCACCCAAAGAUCACCCAUUCCUAACCUUUCUUUACAGAUGAAACCCCUGAGACGGGAGAGGAACUACACGUACUAGAAUGCGCUGUUUGUAACAGCCCCAAUCUGGAGACGACUCACAUGUCCCUCACUGGAAGAACGGAUCAAUAGUGCUGUAUUCACCCAAUGGAAAACCAUUCACAUGAGAACAAAUGAACUCCUGCGUCCAUGACCACACGGAUGGAUGUCACAUACAUGAUGUCAACAAAGAAGCCAGACGCAGACAUGCAGCGCUGUCUGCUGCCGUUUACAUCAAGUUCAAAACUGCAAAACAAACCGGGCUGCUGAAGCCAGGAGAGUGGUUACACUUGGUGGGAGGCUGCUGCUGGCGGGGGUCUGGUGGGGGGUGGGGGCUGGUAAUGCUCCUUUUGUUGGUCUGGGUGAUGGUUCUGUGGGUGUGUUCUUUGUGAAAUGCAUAAGCUGUGCUUCUUAUUUUUACACUUGUGGACAUAUAUUAAACUCACAUUAAAGUGUUUUUUAAUGUAAAAA